GGAAGGAAAAGCAGUCCAAAGCCCUCCAUGGGUGAGUCUCCAGAGCCGCUUCUCAUUUGGGAUUUUGUUUACUUGCUUCCUUGCUUGAUUUUUGCUUGUUUGUCUGUCUGUCUGUCUUGCAGUGGAGUUCAGGGCCUCACAUGAGCUAAGCAAAUGCUUUACCACUGAUUUAGGACUCUCAUUGUGGGGUCGGUUGUGUAUUUGUUCCAUUGGUGAGGAUGUUCUAGUGUAGUGGCUGUUUGAGCCACGCCCUGAAGCACCGCCUUGUGAGGUAGCAGGUAGCUGUUACACUUGCCUGUGACCUUGAGGUACACGGCCCUGGGGUGUGGCCGAAGACCUGGCUUACUCAUGUGCUCUCUCGUCACCACCUCACGGUUUCGGAUGCUGAGACCUUGGACCCUACGAUAAAUCUCCCGUGCUUUGAAACAAACGGGAACAGCAGUGGAUUGUCCCUGGACUCUCCGUCAAGGCCCCCUCUCUUUAUGGCACCAGAUACAGGCAUACAGCAUGGCUAG